GUACACGCUGUGACUAGCAUAUCAAUAAGCGGAGGAAAAGAAACUAACAAGGAUUCCCCUAGUAACGGCGAGUGAAGCGGGAAGAGCUCAAAUUUGAAAUCUUAAAGGGUUUCCCUUUACGAAUUGUAGUUUAAAGAAGUGUUUUCUGUUGAGGUUUUGGUAAAAGUUCUUUGGAAUAGGACAUCAUAGAGGGUGAGAAUCCCGUAUUUGACCUUUACUUUCAACUUUGUGAUACACUUUCAAAGAGUCGGAUUGUUUGGGAAUGCAGUCCAAAAUGGGUGGUAAAUUUCAUCUAAAGCUAAAUAUUGGCGAGAGACCGAUAGCGAACAAGUACCGUGAGGGAAAGAUGAAAAGAACUUUGAAAAGAGAGUUAAACAGUACGUGAAAUUGUCAAAAGGGAAGCGCUUGACACCAGUGUUGUUUUUCUGAAAAUCAAUUAAAGAACUGUUUAUGCUAAGUUGUUUAGACUUUAUCAGCUAACUGUUUAGUUUUGAGCUUUUCUUUAAUGCACUUUUCAGUUAACAAGUCAACAUCAAUUUCUUUUGCUGUAAAAAAGCUUGAGGAAGGUGGCUUGAGAUUCGUCUUAAGUGUUUAUAGCCUCUUGCCUAUGCAGUCGGAGAGAUUGAGGUCUGCAGCGUAGAUCCUUCGGGGCUAAAUGCAGUUUGUGCUAAGUUAUAGCAUUUCAUAGACAACUUGUUGACUAUGAUUUGUCUUGUAGCUUACUCGCUUAUGUUAUUUUACCUACGCUUAGGAUGUUGACAGCAGUAUAGACUGU
rnacentral:rRNA from 1 species